rnacentral:lncRNA from 1 species
GCCACUGCCACUGCCUCUACUGUUGCCCCUGCCCCUGUUGCUGUUGCUUCUGCUGGCUUAUACAAGAUAAGUCCAAGAAAGAAGCCAGCCCAGGAAAAGCCAUCUCAGUGGGACACCUCAAGAGGACCCGUGGCGAGAAUCUUCCCACCAUGGGGACAGAGACUCAAAUCAGCUACUGUAGAACCAGCCACUUUCCCCCCAAUCUCAGGGGUUGCUCUGCUAGGGAAGGCAAGUAAAUGCUCACUGCCUUCAGGGCCCAAAGAGUUCAAGUCCGUCUGCACUGGGAAGAAAUCCAUAGCAAAGAAGACAAGGGAGCCACAGGCAGGGCCCAAAGAAGAUAACUCACCGAGAGAUCCUGGUCUGCAGGCCCAAGUUCCACUACACAGGGCAGAGCAGCCUUCCGUGUGCAUGCAUCGUGGAGAAAUGAGCAGUGGAGACUCCAACACCAGAGCCCCUCAAGUUCCAGCAAACCCACAGUUCUUCUUGAUCCAGAGAUGUGCCAGACCCAGAGCACCACCUGCACCUGCUGGUGACCAGGAAUUACCUCUACGUCUGCCAUUCCCAGUUGGCGAUAGGCAGCAUCAAAUACAAGCCAUAGGGGGCUGCCAACAGUGUGAGAUGUUACAGAAGGAAAUAGAUGAACUCAAGGAACAACUCGGUAUGGCCUACCCC